rnacentral:tRNA from 2 species
GCGCCUGUAGCUCAAUCGGACAGAGCAACAGCCUUCUAAGCUGUGGGUUGGGCGUUCGAUUCGCCCCGGGCGCA